CGGUGAACUGGGGCACGGCUGGCGCGUCCAGCUGGCUGAUGCCGCUGACCUGGACCUGGCCAAAGUUGGGGAUGUAAAUUGGAGCGCCCUCUGCAUCCUUCAGAGAGUUUGCCAGCUCCUUGGCUGCUGCUGUGUCAUCGUUGGGGUAGGUGAUCUGCAACGGGAGAUGCAUGCAUGCCAACAUCAGCAAUCGCACGUCAUUUGUUUGCUUGAACUGAAGGCAUCUUUGGCUGGCGCUUGCUUCACACAACUGCAUGCAUAAGCACAAUAGAUGCACAACAGAAUGACACGUGAACAUGGACGUGCUGAAUACAUCAGUUAUGAAAAUGAGUUCCAUCUAGUGCCUUUCUGGCCGGUGUUCUGCAGCAAUUCAAAGUCCCUGCUGACAUUGAGCCAGGCAAUAUUCACGCCUCCAAAUUGCCUCAGCAAUCUGUAGGAUGCUGGGUUGGAAGAGGUUCUUGACUUCAGACACAUGGAAAGACUCAGAUGCAGACCCUACAGAAUCCUUAAGACUCUGAUAUCAACCCCUGGAUUGUAUAUUCACCUGGGUGUUGACGGUGACGGUGGAUGCUGAGGUGACUCCGACGAUGCUGACCUGGCUCUCCGCCACGUUGGCGCCCUGAGCGAUGCCGCUGAUGUA
rnacentral:lncRNA from 1 species